rnacentral:rRNA from 1 species
CAGUAGCCGCGGUAAUACAGAGGAUGCAAGCGUUAUCCGGAAUGAUUGGGCGUAAAGCGUCUGUAGGUGGCUUUUCAAGUCCGCCGUCAAAUCCCCGGGCUCAACCCUGGACAGGCAGUGGAAACUACCAAGCUGGAGUACGGUAGGGGCAGAGGGAAUUUCCGGUGGAGCGGUGAAAUGCGUUAAGAUCGGAAGGAACGCCCGUGGCGAAAGCGAGGCCCUGGACCCUUUCUGACGCUGAGACGCGAAAGCCAGGGGAGCGAACGGGAUUAGAUACCCCAGUAGUCCCUGUCUCUUAUAC